rnacentral:rRNA from 1 species
GAUGAACGCUAGCGGCAGGCCUAACACAUGCAAGUCGAGGGAGAAGCCCUUUCGGGGGCAGAAACCGGCGCACGGGUGCGUAACGCGUAUGCAACCUACCUUUCACAGGGAGAUAGCCCGAAGAAAUUUGGAUUAAUACCCCAUAAUAUUGUUGGAUGGCAUCAUCUGGCAAUCAAAACUGCGGUGGUGAAAGAUGGGCAUGCGUCCUAUUAGCUAGUUGGAGUGGUAACGGCACCCCAAGGCUACGAUAGGUAGGGGUCCUGAGAGGGAGAUCCCCCACACUGGUACUGAGACAGGGACCAGACUCCUACGGGAGGCAGCAGUGAGGAAUAUUGGUCAAUGGUCGGAAGACUGAACCAGCCAUGCCGCGUGCAGGAAGAAUGCCUUAUGGGUUGUAAACUGCUUUUAUAUGGGAAAGAAUAAAGG